AAACUCAAAGGAAUUGACGGGGACCUGCACAAGCAGCGGAGCGUGUGGUUUAAUUCGUUGCUACACGAAGACCUUACCUGGGUUUGACAUAUAGGUUGUAGGGAACUGAAAAGGGACCGACCUUCGGGGAGCCUAUACAGGUGUUGCAUGGCUGUCGUCAGCUCGUGUCGUGAGAUGUUCGGUUAAGUCCGCUAACGAGCGCAACCCUCGUCGUAUGUUAUAUGUGUCAUACGAGACUGCCGGUAAAAAGCCGGGGGAAGGUGAGGAUGGUGUCAAGUCAGCAUGACCUUUAUAUCCAGGGCUACACACACGCUACAAUGGUCUGUACAAUGGGUAGCCAAGCCGCGAGGCGGAGCCAAUCCUGAAAGCAGGCCUCAGUUCAGAUUGCAGUCUGCAACUCGACUGCAUGAAGCCGGAGUUGCUAGUAACCGCAGGUCAGCAAUACUGCGGUGAAUACGUUCCCGGGUCUU
rnacentral:rRNA from 1 species